UACGGGGGGGGCAAGCGUUGUUCGGAAUUACUGGGCGUAAAGGGCUCGUAGGCGGCCAACUAAGUCAGACGUGAAAUCCCUCGGCUUAACCGAGGAACUGCGUCUGAUACUGGAUGGCUUGAGUUUGGGAGAGGGAUGCGGAAUUCCAGGUGUAGCGGUGAAAUGCGUAGAUAUCUGGAGGAACACCGGUGGCGAAGGCGGCAUCCUGGACCAACACUGACGCUGAGUGAGCGAAAGCCAGGGGAGCAAACGGG
rnacentral:rRNA from 1 species